UACGUAGGGGGCAAGCGUUGUCCGGAAUCAUUGGGCGUAAAGAGCGUGUAGGCGGUCCGGUAAGUCGGCUGUGAAAGUCCAGGGCUCAACCCUGGGAUGCCGGUCGAUACUGCCGGACUAGAGUUCGGAAGAGGCGAGUGGAAUUCCCGGUGUAGCGGUGAAAUGCGCAGAUAUCGGGAGGAACACCUAUGGCGAAAGGCAGCUCGCUGGGGACGUUUACUGACGCU
rnacentral:rRNA from 1 species